rnacentral:sRNA from 1 species
AAAGGAAAAAACAAACAAAAAGCUU